rnacentral:rRNA from 1 species
UACGAAGGGGGCUAGCGUUGCUCGGAAUCACUGGGCGUAAAGCGCACGUAGGCGGCUUCUUAAGUCAGGGGUGAAAUCCCGAGGCUCAACCUCGGAACUGCCUUCGAUACUGGAAGUCUUGAGUCCGGGAGAGGUGAGUGGAACUCCGAGUGUAGAGGUGAAAUUCGUAGAUAUUCGGAAGAACACCAGUGGCGAAGGCGGCUCACUGGCCCGGUACUGACGCUGAGAUACGAAAGCGUGGGGAGCAAACAGGG